GGCGAACGGGUGAGUAACGCGUAGGUGAUCUGCCUUCAGGCGGGGGACAACCCGGGGAAACCCGGGCUAAUACCGCAUGUGACCGCAAGGUUAAAGCCGGCCUCUAUUUAUAAGCUGGUGCCUGGAGAUGAGCCUGCGUCUGAUUAGCUAGACGGUGGGGUAAAGGCCUACCGUGGCGAUGAUAAGUAGGCGGCUUUAACGAGUGGCCGCCCACACUGGGAUUGAGAUACGGCCCAGACUCCUACGGGAGGCAGCAGUCGAGGAUAGUCUACAAUGGUCGAAAGAUUGAUAGUGCGACGCCGCGUGAACGAAGAAGCAUUUCGGUGUGUAAAGUUCUUUUCCAUGGGAGCAGGGGCCAGGUGGUUAACAGCGACCGGGUCUUGAUAUUACUAUGGGAAUAAGCCACGGCUAACUCCGUGCCAGCAGCCGCGGUAAUACGGGGGUGGCGAGCGUUGUCCGGAAUUACUAGGCGUAAAGGGCAGGUAGGCGGUUUUAUAAGUUAAUCGUUAAAGACCCGUGCUCACCAUGGGGAGGGCGGUUGAUACUGUAAGACUGGAAGCGAGUGGGGGAAGACGGAAUUCCU
rnacentral:rRNA from 1 species